GAAGAGGCGGGUGCCCAGCGCUGCGUGGCUGGGACCGGGAGCCUGAGAAGGCCGGAGGAGGGGUGUUCCCCGCCUGGAAAGGGCGGAAAGAGGCCGGAAUUGGAAAUGGAGCUACAGUUUUGAUAUUUGAAGGAGCGAGCGAGGGAGUGAAAGGGCUCAAGAAUCACUUUGUGAGGUGGGGGAGAGGAGAAGGGCGUGAGGCGUGGGGACACCUUUUAAGCUGGAAUCUCAAAGCACUUUGCAAGGCACGUAACUCUCCAUUUUAUGGAUGAGAAAACUGAGUCAGAGAGAGGUGAAAUGGCGAGGUAAAGGUCAAACGGCAACUCUCCCUUGGCUUAGGCUCUAAGCGGUCAAACCCACCGAAAGGGACUUAGCUGGAAAGCGUCCCCGUGCCAGAAAGUGGAACGGUGCGCUGGGACCCCGAUUCCCGAAAAGGGCACACGGAGCUCGCGGCAGCCGUGCCUGCCCACAGGGCAGAGAAGAGGAAACGGCGGUCGUUAUUUCAGUCUUCUAACUGCCUCCCCUCCCCCACUCCCCCUUAGUUUGUGAUCAGUAAUUUUCCAGCCGGGAAAUGUUUUCGUCUCAUCUUCUCUGCGAACAGCGCUGUUUUUUUUUUUUUUUUUAAACGUGAGUGUGGUGUUCGGUAUCGCUUUCUAAACGUAGGCUUGCGAGGUGUUUUGUUUGGAUUCAGGCGAGCACAGGGCUCCGCCCGCCCUUUCCACCGAGCCCCCUUGUCAGUAAACGCGGCCGGUCCCGUCCGGGUGUCAGCCCAGGAGAGAAAAGAUUCUGUGCCAUUUUUGGAUAUCCUCCCAUUUUGCCAUCCUGCCGUGAGCCAGACGCUGGCCUUGGCAUUGCAGCUGCACCAACCCAGCUCUCCCACAACCUCCUCCAAGAAGUCUUCCCUGAUUCUGGUCAGAGGGAUGAAGUGCUCCAAAGACCCCAAAGUGCUUUUCACCCUCUUACUCAUGGUGUUUAUUUGUGGGCAUGAAUCCUCUCUCUUGCUGAUUUGCAAGCUUCUCUGGGCCAGGAUGGUGUGCAGGCUGUGCAGCACCAAGCAUGUUUCCCCUUCGAUCUUGAGGCCACGUGGAGAUUACAAGUACUGCACAGGGUGAGGAGACCCAGGGCUCGGCAGAGAACUCCAUGUGUAGUCGGCUUGGACACAUCUUGUUCUGGGCUCCAGGUUCUCCAUCUGCACGAUGAAGACUCUGGAUAGAUGCCUUCCGAAGUCCUUCCAGGCAUGACCAUUUUAUAAAUAAAUAGAAGGCACUAAAUCCUUCAGAAAGUAAUUUCUCACAUCUGCCAAGCUGGACUUCCCAGCCUCCAAAAUUCCAGCUCAACAUCCAUAUGUUCAUCGUUGGGUUUAGAGCUUGGGUGCUGGAGUUAGUGGAGACCUGGGUUGAAUCUUGGUCCUUAGUAAUGGCGGCUGCAUGCAAGUUACCUCCUCACUUCCGGGAAACUCCCUUUCCUUGUCUGGACCUUGGGGAUGAUAAUAACGUCAGAUACAUUACAGAGCAUUAUAUGAAAUAAUUUUUAAAGGUCUGCCUAUGAUGGAGUCAAUCAACUACAGCUGUUAUCUCAUUCUCUGAAAAAUAUGAGAAGCAAAGACAAACACUUUUGACUCCACUUCUGACCAAAGCUUUACCUAAACAAAUAAACAAUAAAAGUUGUGUUUAAAAGUGGGGGUGGGUGGGCUUCCCUGGUGGUGC